ACUCGCACACUGGAGGGCAUUAUGGGAGUGACGUCAGGCCGGUGAUGUCACAAUUCCCUCCAUGAUGGCUGCCGGUGCAAUGUUGUCACCAAGAACCUUCCUCCUCUCCCCGGCUCUUCUAUACCAUCUGCCCUCAAGAUGCCUGUCAACAUCCCACAGCAGCCAACAGAAGGAUGGCUGGUUCAACAAGCUGCUGGUGAGGAAGAUUGAGCCCACCAAGGAGUCCCACUCUCGUAUGCUGUCAGACAAGGAGGUCAUCUUUGAGCUACAGACACACAACAUCAAGCCUGGCACAAGCAAAGAAUACCUUAAGAACUAUGAGGAGUAUGUCAAGGGAGUAAAGGACAAAGGAGACCUUAGCAACAUGGAGCUUCAUGGAUCGUGGACAGUGUCGGUGGGAGACCAGGACCAGUGUGUGCAUCUGUGGAAACAUGCCGGAGGUUACCGAGCCAUCGAUGCCUCCAACUCAGUUAUAGCCACAGACAAUGACCUCUCAAAAUUGGUCCAGGACAGAAAUCAAUACCUUCGACAACGCACAAAUCAGUUCCUUCUUCCCUUUAGCUUUUGGCCGCCAGUCACUCCACGCGAAGGAGGAAAUAUAUACGAGAUUCGCUCAUACUUUCUCAAGCCGGGCACCAUGAUUGAGUGGGGCAACAACUGGUCAAGGGCAAUCCACUUCCGCCAAGCUAACAAUGAAGCAUUUGGCGGAUUUUUCUCUCAGGUCGGGCGCCUGUACAAUGUCCAUCACAUCUGGUGCUACAGGAGUCUGGCCGACCGCAAGGAGAACCGGGAGUCUGCAUGGCGCAAGCCCGGCUGGGACGAAGUGGUUGCCUACACAGUCCCCCUAAUAGAAGAGUACUAUUCCCGUAUCCUCACCCCCAACACCUUCAGCCCCACACAAUAGGGAGUGCCGUGGUGCCUUGACCCCCGCUGCUGUGCUCCUCUGAGGUCAGGUGAAGAAAGCUAUAGCUCUCUGGAGGGGAGGAAGGAGGCACGUGAGAAUGCUUGGCGCCACCCAGGCUGGGAUGAAGUUGUGGCCUACACUGUGCCGCUAAUCAAGGAGAUGCACGCCAGGAUCCUCGUGCCAAACUACUUCUCCCCAG
rnacentral:misc_RNA from 1 species